rnacentral:rRNA from 1 species
GAAUAUUGGGCAAUGGGCGAGAGCCUGAUCCAGCCAUGCCGCGUGCAGGAAGACGGCCCUAUGGGUKGUAAGCUGCUUUUAUACAGGAAGAAAMCCYUCCCUCGUGAGGGAGGAUGACGGUACCUGUAAGAAUAAGCUCCGGC